CACGGGGGGAGCAAGCGUUGUUCGGAAUCACUGGGCGUAAAGGGCGUGUAGGCGGUCAAGUAAGUGGAAUGUGAAAGCCCCCGGCUUACCCGGGGAUCUGCAUCCCAAACUGCUUGGCUUGAGUACGGGAGAGGAUAGGGGAAUUCCUGGUGUAGCGGUGAAAUUCGUAGAUAUCAGGUGGAACACCAGUGGCGAAGGCGGCUUUCUGGACGGUAACUGACGCUGAGACGCGAAAGCGUGGGGAGCAAACAGG
rnacentral:rRNA from 1 species